UGGAUCCAGACUUUGAUCCUGGCUCAGGACGAACGCUGGCGGCGUGCCUAAUACAUGCAAGUAGAACGCUGAAGGGAGAAGCUUGCUUCUUCUGGAUGAGUUGCGAACGGGUGAGUAACGCGUAGGUAACCUGCCUGAUAGCGGGGGAUAACUAUUGGAAACGAUAGCUAAUACCGCAUAAGAGGUAAUAACACAUGUUAUUAGUUUAAAAGGGGCAAUUGCUCCACUAUCAGAUGGACCUGCGUUGUAUUAGCUAGUUGGUAAGGUAACGGCUUACCAAGGCGACGAUACAUAGCCGACCUGAGAGGGUGAUCGGCCACACUGGGACUGAGACACGGCCCAGACUCCUACGGGAGGCAGCAGUAGGGAAUCUUCGGCAAUGGGGGCAACCCUGACCGAGCAACGCCGCGUGAGUGAAGAAGGUUUUCGGAUCGUAAAGCUCUGUUGUAAGAGAAGAACGGAUGUGGGAGUGGAAAAUCCAUGUCGUGACGGUAUCUUACCAGAAAGGGACGGCUAACUACGUGCCAGCAGCCGCGGUAAUACGUAGGUCCCGAGCGUUGUCCGGAUUUAUUGGGCGUAAAGCGAGCGCAGGCGGUUUCAUAAGUCUGAAGUUAAAGGCAGUGGCUUAACCAUUGUACGCUUUGGAAACUGUGAGACUUGAGUGCAGAAGGGGAGAGUGGAAUUCCAUGUGUAGCGGUGAAAUGCGUAGAUAUAUGGAGGAACACCGGUGGCGAAAGCGGCUCUCUGGUCUGUAACUGACGCUGAGGCUCGAAAGCGUGGGGAGCAAACAGGAUUAGAUACCCUGGUAGUCCACGCCGUAAACGAUGAGUGCUAGGUGUUGGGUCCUUUCCGGGACUCAGUGCCGCAGCUAACGCAUUAAGCACUCCGCCUGGGGAGUACGACCGCAAGGUUGCAACUCAAAGGAAUUGACGGA
rnacentral:rRNA from 1 species